rnacentral:lncRNA from 1 species
CUGAAGGCCCAUGAGCAAAGACGAGAGCAUGCAGCUCUCAGUUUGUUUACUGACCAUUUAAUGCACAUUACACACAAAAAAGCAAGCAUGGCAGAAAUCACCACGUCCAGUCUGAUCGCCAGCUGGGAACAAAGUCAUGUUAAGAGUCUACCAGUAUGAUACAGUGAGCACUGAGGAAAAACAAAUCUGCCAAAGUUUGCAAGAUGGAGGAAGCUGGAAUCAAACGCAAACUUGGACCAUGAAAUCAAACCAAUUGUCAAAACAGCUUUACAGAAGAAACACCAAUUCAUUGGACUUACAAGAGAGGCUGGAUCACUGUCCUGCCAAGACAGACUCCAGUGGAUGCCAGCCUGAGACGGUGUGAUUUCUGCCCAUGAAGGCCUCACGCUGAGUGCUAUGUAAGCUGUUGUGAGCCGCCCUCAUCCUCUGGCACAGAGGAAUCAGUUUCUGGGCUUCUGUGGAGCCACAGUGAGCGAUAUCCAUUUGCCAAGCCAUUAAAGCAUGA